UCCUCUGGUCUGGACAAGCCCAUAUUAAGUGGGAGAUGUUCAAUAUCAACCCGAUGCGAGGCAGCAAAUGUGGAAAUGGACGCAAGUCAAGGACAGCUGCAGACAGCAAGAUAAUGAAACUGAUACAGCGAUUGCACUGAAUCACUGAAGAUAUGAGCCGGAAUGCGAACAGUGUACUCGUACAGUUUGGCAGAAUAAACCCCAUCUUUAUGCGUUCAGAGCAGCUGG